AAAACGCGAUAUUUAAUAUGAGACGCAGCACUCAGUGAAUCAUCAAAAUCUUGAACGCACUUGGCGCCCUCGAGUCUCCGGGCUCUGGGACAUAUCUGUUUGAGUGUCAAUAAAACCCCCUCCAACUUUCGGGUUGGGUUCAAAUGUGGACGUUGGUCACUGUGCCUAUAUGAUGGCACACCGGCUCAAGCUGAGUGGUGACUGGGUAAGCUUCCUCUGGAAACAACAAAAGCUAACAAAAUACUAAGUCAAAUGUUCGCGGGUUCACAGCGUCUCGCGUACCUAUGACCUCAAAUCAGGUAAGACUACCCGCCGAAUUUAA
rnacentral:misc_RNA from 1 species